GAUAUGGCCUCCACACCAAGGACGCCAUAGUUACUUGGGUAAGAAAGAAGACUGGCGUGCCAAUCAUUAGGCUUCAGUCUAAGGAUUCAGCUGAGGAGUUCCUCAAAAAGGACAUGACCUUUGUUAUUGGUCUAUUCAAGAAUUUUGAGGGAGCAGACCAUGAAGAAUUUGUGAAGGCAGCAACCACAGACAACGAGGUACAGUUAAAUUUAUUCUCUUGCAAAUUUGUUCUAGAUCUUCA